ACAUCAUCACCAUCAUCCUGAUUAGUCUUUCGGGAGGAUACGCCUCGCUCUGGAAGACGAAAAACACUUCUUCCAGUGGUCAGCAAGAAUAAAGAAUUCAAGACCCUUGGAAGUAAAAUUCCAAGGGUUUUUUUC
rfam:Photobacterium jeanii strain R-40508 scaffold1, whole genome shotgun sequence.